UAAAUGGUGUUGAAUCGAUUCAA
rnacentral:siRNA from 1 species